UCCUCCAAAAUGAAAGGCCUACUGGUACCUCACUGCAUUGACUUUCAGCACAGUGUAUUCACAAUGAACCAGUUCUGUGAAGCUGAGCAGUCACAAAGGUC